UACGUAGGGUGCAAGCGUUGUCCGGAAUUAUUGGGCGUAAAGAGCUCGUAGGCGGUUUGUCGCGUCGGCUGUGAAAUCCCGAGGCUCAACCUCGGGUCUGCAGUCGAUACGAGCAAACUAGAGUGUUGCAGGGGAGACUGGAAUUCCUGGUGUAGCGGUGAAAUGCGCAGAUAUCAGGAGGAACACCGGUGGCGAAGGCGGGUCUCUGGGCCGAUACUGACGCUGAGGAGCGAAAGCGUGGGGAGCGAACAGG
rnacentral:rRNA from 1 species